AAUAAGAAGCUUGCUUUUUGUUGGUUAGCGGCGGACGGGUGAGUAACACGUGGGUAACCUGCCUGUAAGACCGGGAUAACUCCGGGAAACCGGUGCUAAUACCGGAUAGAUUAUCUUUCCACCUGGAGAGAUAAGGAAAGAUGGCUUUUGCCAUCACUUACAGAUGGGCCCGCGGCGCAUUAGCUAGUUGGUGAGGUAACGGCUCACCAAGGCGACGAUGCGUAGCCGACCUGAGAGGGUGAUCGGCCACACUGGGACUGAGACACGGCCCAGACUCCUACGGGAGGCAGCAGUAGGGAAUCUUCCGCAAUGGACGAAAGUCUGACGGAGCAACGCCGCGUGAGCGAAGAAGGUCUUCGGAUCGUAAGGCUCUGUUGUUAGGGAAGAACAAGUAUCGGAGGAAAUGCCGGUACCUUGACGGUACCUGACGAGAAAGCCACGGCUAACUACGUGCCAGCAGCCGCGGUAAUACGUAGGUGGCAAGCGUUGUCCGGAAUUAUUGGGCGUAAAGCGCGCGCAGGCGGUCCUUUAAGUCUGAUGUGAAAUCUUGCGGCUCAACCGCAAGCGGUCAUUGGAAACUGGGGGACUUGAGUGCAGAAGAGGAAA
rnacentral:rRNA from 1 species